AUCUUCGGGGCGGGGCGUAAUUCCCCACCGGCGGUAUAGUCCGCGACCCGCGUAAGCGGCUGACAUGGUGAAAUUCCAUGACCGACAGUCAAAGUCUGGAUGAGAGAAGA
rnacentral:ncRNA from 1 species